UCCGGCUUAUCACCGGCAGUCCCACUAGAGUGCCCAACUUAAUGAUGGCAACUAAUGGCAAGGGUUGCGCUCGUUGCGGCACUUAAGCCAACACCUCACGGCACGAGCUGACGACAGCCAUGCAGCACCUGUGCUGGCCCCUUACGGAGCCCUGCUUUCACAGGGUUUAACCAGCAUGUCAAGCCCAGGUAAGGCUCUUCGCGUUGCAUCGAAUUAAGCCACAUGCUCCGCCGCUUGUGCGGGUCCCCGUCAAUUCCUUUGAGUUUUAGCCUUGCGGCCGUACUCCCCAGGCGGGGCACUUAAUGCGUUAGCUACGGCACGGACCCCGUCGAUGAGGACCCACACCUAGUGCCCAACGUUUACGGCGUGGACUAC
rnacentral:misc_RNA from 1 species